rnacentral:misc_RNA from 1 species
GGAGAAUCAAUAAGUAGGCAGUAAUCUUUCCUCUUUGCAAUUCUCAAGAAAAAUAUUAAAGCAAAAGGAGUUUAAGAGACGAGCAAGACGUCCUUCCUUUAUUCCCUUGCCACCCACUAUAGAGAGAAGAAAGAAGAGGGUUCUCACUGUCCCCCUCCAUAGGUGGUCACAUCUCCUCCUUUGCAAAAGGGUUCAGCUUUAAGCGGAUGGAAUGGAAUAAGAAUAUGGUUGAUGUUUUGCCCUUUAAUUGGAGGAUCAAUAUUCCCUUUUGUUAUCACUCUCCCAUGCUGAUAAGAAUUCCACCAGAAACAGGAUAGAUGCUAAAUGAAAUACCAGGUUCAGCUUCUAAUAAAGAUG